UCUUAAUGACAAACCAAUGGUUGUUUUUGCUUUUGGCAAAGUAAAACCUACGUAGCACCUGGUAAACUCCAAAUGUAUAUAUGGAUUGAGAUCCCAUAUUUCCAUCAUCGUUUGCGGGCUGAGAGGAUUACGAGUUGUGGAAUCUUUCACCAUUUCAACUCCAAUCAUCAAACCUUUCCCUCGGACAUCUCCAACCAUUUCAAAUUCAUCCCUGUAACAUAAUAAAAGCAAAUGUGUUAAAAAAU